AGAGUUUGAUCCUGGCUCAGGACGAACGAUGGCGGCGUGCCUAAUACAUGCAAGUCGAGCGGAGUUAAGGAAGAGCUUGCUCUUCCUUAACUUAGCGGCGGACGGGUGAGUAACACGUGGGCAACCUGCCUGUAAGACCGGGAUAACUCCGGGAAACCGGGGCUAAUACCGGAUAGAUGACGCUCUCGCAUGAGAGCGUCAGGAAAGAUGGCUUUGGCUAUCACUUACAGAUGGGCCCGCGGCGCAUUAGCUAGUUGGUGAGGUAAUGGCUCACCAAGGCGACGAUGCGUAGCCGACCUGAGAGGGUGAUCGGCCACACUGGGACUGAGACACGGCCCAGACUCCUACGGGAGGCAGCAGUAGGGAAUCUUCCGCAAUGGACGAAAGUCUGACGGAGCAACGCCGCGUGAGCGAAGAAGGUCUUCGGAUCGUAAAGCUCUGUUGUUAGGGAAGAACAAGUACCGUUCGAAUAGGGCGGUACCGUGACGGUACCUAACCAGAAAGCCACGGCUAACUACGUGCCAGCAGCCGCGGUAAUACGUAGGUGGCAAGCGUUGUCCGGAAUUAUUGGGCGUAAAGCGCGCGCAGGCGGCUUCUUAAGUCUGAUGUGAAAGCCCGCGGCUUAACCGCGGAGGGUCAUUGGAAACUGGGGAGCUUGAGUGCAGAAGAGGAGAGUGGAAUUCCACGUGUAGCGGUGAAAUGCGUAGAGAUGUGGAGGAACACCAGUGGCGAAGGCGGCUCUCUGGUCUGUAACUGACGCUGAGGCGCGAAAGCGUGGGGAGCAAACAGGGUUAGAUACCCUGGUAGUCCACGCCGUAAACGAUGAGUGCUAAGUGUUAGAGGGUUUCCGCCCUU
rnacentral:rRNA from 1 species